rnacentral:rRNA from 1 species
AGUGAACGCUGGCGGUAGGCCUAACACAUGCAAGUCGAACGGCAGCACAGUAAGAGCUUGCUCUUACGGGUGGCGAGUGGCGGACGGGUGAGGAAUACAUCGGCAUCUACUUUUUCGUGGGGGAUAACGUAGGGAAACUUACGCUAAUACCGCAUACGACCUACGGGUGAAAGCAGGGGAUCUUCGGACCUUGCGCGAUUGAAUGAGCCGAUGUCGGAUUAGCUAGUUGGCGGGGUAAAGGCCCACCAAGGCGACGAUGCGUAGCUGGUCUGAGAGGAUGAUCAGCCACACUGGAACUGAGACACGGUCCAGACUCCUACGGGAGGCAGCAGUAGGGAAUAUUGGACAAUGGGCGCAAGCCUGAUCCAGCCAUACCGCGUGAGUGAAGAAGGCCUUCGGAUUGUAAAGCCCUUUUGUUGGGAAAGAAAAGCAGCAGGUUAAUACCCCGCUGUUCUGACGGUACCCAAAGAAUAAGCACCGGCUAACUUCGUG